rnacentral:rRNA from 1 species
AUCUUUAMGAUUURAUUYAAAGUAAWACCUGCUCAAUGUAUUAAAUAAAUAGCCGCAGUCUUCCUGUGCUAAGGUAGCAUAAUCACUAGCUCCCUAAUUAGGAGAUUGUAUGAAGGGUUAAACAAGAAAGAACUGUCUCUAUAUWAAACAUAAACUUAAUUUUUAUGUAAAAAAGCAUAAAUACAAUAAUAGGACGACAAGACCCUGAUAAACUUAUCAUUCAAUUGGGGCAAUGAUAUAAAAAUACUUUAAUAAAAAUAAACACAAAACUGUUAAAAACAAUUAAGUCUAGUUACUACAGGGAUAACAGCGCAMUGUCUUUUUAAAGCUCUUAUAAAAAAAGACGAUUACGACCUCGAUGUUGAAUUAAUUUAACUAUUCAGUGCRAAAGCUGAAAAAGUUGGUCUGWUCGACCAUUAMWAGRUU